rnacentral:rRNA from 1 species
UACGUAGGGACCGAGCGUUGUCCGGAAUCAUUGGGCGUAAAGAGCGUGUAGGCGGCCACUUAAGUCCUGCGUGAAAUCUUGCGGCUCAACCGCAAGCGGUCGUGGGAAACUGGGUGGCUAGAGUGCGGGAGAGGAGUGUGGAAUUCCUGGUGUAGCGGUGAAAUGCGCAGAUAUCAGGAAGAACACCUAUGGCGAAGGCAGCACUCUGGGACGGUACUGACGCUGAGACGCGAAAGCGUGGGGAGCGAACAGG